UGCGGAAGGAUCAUUACAGAGUUCAUGCCCGAAAGGGUAGACCUCCCACCCUUGUGUAUUAUUACUUUGUUGCUUUGGCGAGCUGCCUUCGGGCCUUGUAUGCUCGCCAGAGAAUACCAAAACUCUUUUUAUUAAUGUCGUCUGAGUACUAUAUAAUAGUUAAAACUUUCAACAACGGAUCUCUUGGUUCUGGCAUCGAUGAAGAACGCAGCGAAAUGCGAUAAGUAAUGUGAAUUGCAGAAUUCAGUGAAUCAUCGAAUCUUUGAACGCACAUUGCGCCCCUUGGUAUUCCGGGGGGCAUGCCUGUUCGAGCGUCAUUUCAACCCUCAAGCUUAGCUUGGUAUUGAGUCUAUGUCAGUAAUGGCAGGCUCUAAAAUCAGUGGCGGCGCCGCUGGGUCCUGAACGUAGUAAUAUCUCUCGUUACAGGUUCUCGGUGUGCUUCUGCCAAAACCCAAAUUUUUCUAUGGUUGACCUCGGAUCAGGUAGGGAUACCCGCUGAACUUAAGCAUAUCAAAA
rnacentral:rRNA from 1 species